rnacentral:tRNA from 1 species
UGCUCAGAGGUUUAGAGCACUCCGACAAAAAGUCGGAGGGGUCGCUGGUUCGAUCCCAGCAGGGACCA